AAUCUGCCGCCAGUUCUGAGAUCUUGACAGCAGGAGGGGUGGGCAGGCCAGUGUCCACACGUUGCCCCUCUGUGUCAUGCAGGCCAGCUUCUCCCAUAAGUCUUCUAGGAGGAAGGAAAGCCAGGUUUUCCUGAGCGACGAGAGGACAGUGAAAAGAGAGGACACUCCUGCCGUCUGUGCCCGUGGAUGUACCUGGAGGUGGUGGUUUGCUCAGCUCUCCUCUGCUGAGAGUUGUUAGGGAGGCUUGCGUUCCUCCCGGGAGUAGAAGGGGCAGAUGCGAUGAGUGCCCUGACAUCAGAGACCUGCUCACAAGAGGCCUGGGACCCCAUAAAGAUCCCCAGCGAGGCAGAGCCAUUCUCAGGGACUGGGGUGGAGGUUCCCCAGAGAGAAUAAUUCCUGAGUUAGAACCAACCACCAAUAGAAGGCCCGUAUGCAAGCGCUGCAGCAGAAGACCCAGCCGCAGCUCAUAAGAAACCAAAUCACCAGCAUCUGCCCAGCGGAGGAUCCUGACUUCCAAGAAGAUCUGGUAGAGAAUGAACCUUCCGCCACUCAGAAAGAGUCAGAGGAAACAGGAGACCAGGUGGCCUGGAGCGAGCCGCAGCCUGUGCUUGGAACAGCAGGGCCCGGCGUGUUUGAUGCUAACCCCUGGGGCAAAAGCUCAUCCUUUUUAGGUCAAUCAACAGACGUUUCUAGGCCAUUUUACCCUGUGCCAGGCUCUUUGCAGGAUUCUGGGAAUGGAGCGGGAAAGAAGUCUGAGGCCUUGGCUGCCCUCUAGUGAGGGAGGCACUUUAAGUAAACAGUGAGUGUGAUGUCACAAGAGCUGUUCCAGUGGGACCUGGCGGGCCAGGUGGCGGGAGAGGAACACCUGAGGCUGUGAGAGUUGGAGGCCCCGCUGGCUGUGGGCGAGAGGCAGCGUGUUUCCCCCGCAGAACAGAACACUCAGACCUUUCGUUACAACUUCCCCAAGUCUCUUCGGCGAGGCCUGCCGCAGCACUGCUGGUGAAACGGACGCUCCCUGAGGACGGGGCGGCCACUGUCCUGCUCACCGUGUGCAUCCUCCUGGCCUAGCACCCACAGUAACUGGUUAAUUACUGCCAUUGAACAAAUAAAGUCAUAAAUGACACCACAAAUAGAAUUAAACCCUGCCGCCGCCUACUAAUGUGAAUUUGUUGAGUAGGGGCUGCGCCCACCCAGGGCGGUCUGCUCUGUUAGGCUUUUCGAGGCACCGACAUGGGUCAGAUGUACCUCCUGGCUCCAUAGACCCCAGGGCAGGUGAGCCUAGCACCCAGCCAAGAUGAUUACAUGUGAGAUGUUAGCACCGUCUGAUUCCGCAGGACCACAUGUAGCGAUGUGAGGGAUGGAUGCCACCAGAAUGUGAGUACAGGACUGUACACACAGCACUGAUCCUGAUGGAGAAAAUGCAGAGAGCCCCUAAAUGCCUGUCAGAGGCAGUCCACCCUAUAAUGGAAGACUAUAUAUAGCUGGUAAGAAGAAAAACCCUUUUCUGCAUCACUGCAUAUAAUGUUGUUGAGUAAAUUGUUGAGAUAAGGGGGAAAACAGUUGAGAACAGAUUAUAUACAUCCAACUUAUUUUUCAAUAUAUUUUCACAUGUGAGUAUAUAUAUAUAUAUAUAGGCAUUUUAUGCCUGCUGAUACAUGAAUUAAAAAAAUAACACACAUGGAAGGAUAUAAACCACACUGUUGUUACAUUAUAAAGCUGGGAUUUGAGGAGGUACUAAGUCGGUUAUUUUUUGCUUUCAGCUUUUGAGUAAUGUUUGAAUUUUCACGUCAAGCAUGUUACUUUUAUUAACUGCAAAGAUACUAAAGAUGGUCACCUUUGCAGGGGAAAAUACAUCAUAGAAAGUGAUAAGUGGCAGAGGAGAAAUCUUUAUAGGUAUUAGAACUCAGGGGUAAGAGCUGCUUCUGACUAAAGAGAAGCACUUACCAGUCUUAACGUGGCAGACUUUGCACAUGAACUUGACCUUGAAGCAUCAGUAGGCUAGGUAAGGUUCAGUACGCAUCAUAGUUCACUCUGGGGGUCUUUACACGUGUUAAGUAUCUCCUGGAGGGUUACUCUCAGACUGCCAGACUCCUUCCUGGCCAGCUCCCAAUGUGCUGCUUUAUCCAAAAGUUAAAUCUGUUGACCCAGAUUUGUCUUACAUUGUCAUUGUCAUCCUAUCUUGUCCUUGCUGCAGAUAAAUUAAGAGUUGAGUGGGUUUAUAAGGAGGAGCAUUAAAAUCUUCUGUGGAUUGUAUAAAGAUUCUUAAUAAUCUUCUUUUUCUUUGGCCCUGGGCCUCCAUCCUAGGAGAAUUGAAAGUGUAAGCCAAGAUUCAUUCAACGUGGCAUUAACUAUAAGAAUUAAAAAACUGAAAUAGCCCAAAUAUCAGAAAGAUAUGAGUGAGCAGGGUAUCUGAAGGGAUCUAUCACAGCCUUAAAGAUAUUAACAAAAAAUUUUAAAUGACUUGUUGGAAGAUUAUGAUAAGUGCAAAAAAAAAAAAAAAAA